rnacentral:rRNA from 1 species
AUACGGAGGGGGCUAGCGUUGUUCGGAAUUACUGGGCGUAAAGCGCACGUAGGCGGUAUAUCAAGUUAGGCGUGAAAGCCCUGGGCUCAACCCGGGAACUGCGCUUAUUACUGAUGAACUAGAGUCCGGGAGAGGGUAGCGGAAUUCCCAGUGUAGAGGUGAAAUUCGUAGAUAUUGGGAAGAACACCAGUUGCGAAGGCGGCUACCUGGACCGGUACUGACGCUGAGGUGCGAAAGCGUGGGGAGCAAACAGGAUUAGAUACCCCGGUAGUCC